rnacentral:rRNA from 1 species
UACGGCCGCAAGGCUAAAACUCAAAGGAAUUGACGGGGCCCCGCACAAGCGGCGGAGCAUGCGGCUUAAUUCGAUGCGACCCGAAGAACCUUACCUGGGUUUGACAUCAUGGGAAAAACUGUAGAGAUACAGUGUGCGUAAGCGUCCAUGACAGGUGGUGCAUGGCUGUCGUCAGCUCGUGUCGUGAGAUGUUGGGUUAAGUCCCGCAACGAGCGCAACCCUCGUCCUAUGUUGCCAGCACGUAAUGGUGGGGACUCAUGGGAGACUGCCGGGGACAACUCGGAGGAAGGUGAGGACGACGUCAAGUCAGCAUGCCCCUUAUAUCCAGGGCUGCACGCAUGCUACAAUGGCCGGUACAACGGGCUGCGAUCCCGCGAGGGUGAGCGAAUCCCUUAAAGCCGGUCUCAGUUCGGAUUGAAGUCUGCAACUCGACUUCAUGAAGCCGGAGUCGCUAGUAAUCGUGGAUCAGCAAUGCCGCGGUGAAUACGUUCUCGGGGCUUGUACACACCGCCCGUCACAUCACGAAAGUUGGCAAUGCCCGAAGUCAGUGGUCCAACCCUUUUUGGGAGGAAGCUGCC